AUUUUCUUUAUGCAAUGGACAUGAGUAAGAAGUUUCAGAAUUAUUCUAUUCCUGUACAGAUUAUGUACGCUUUGAUUAUCAACAUGUUAGCUCAGAUAUAUAUUCUGUUAAGUUGAUUUCUAAAUGGUUAUACAAGUGUCCCCACUUGGAUAAUCAUGGCAUUUAUUCACAUGUUGAUAUACCUUUGUCAAUUACCCGUAUACAUAUAUGUUGAAUUACAUAUUAUUGUUGAGCAAGAUUAAAAACCUUCGGGUUUGGAACCAGGCAUGUAUGAACAUCCCGAUAAUGGGAAAAUUUUUAUGCGCUUCGGCGGACAAAGGGUGAGCGAUGAAUUUCGUUCAAGUUAUGUAGUAUUGAUCAAUACAGGGUACAACGGGGCUGAUCACCCUCCGUGCCCGUAAGUUAUGACGGUUUGCGGAUGAAUUUCUGCUAAACCUUUUCGAAAAUGAAAAACAAUGUUCAUAGUAUGUUUCUUAAACCCUAUUCAUGGGUGGAGCCUCAUUUCAAGAAUUUGAAAGAGAGUUGUUAUGUGAAUCUUUUAUCAGUACAGAUUACUUCACAACUUUUGAUUCGUUGUAGAAGUGUUAUGUAAAGAGAAUACUUAUAUUCUUUCAGCUUAUAUAUAUAAUUGCUAUUACUUGCUGGGCACUCAAAUGCUCAUCCUUGCUUAAAUUAAAUGUUUUCAGUUAUGUAUGAGCAACCUGAAGGCUCAGGCACGAACAAAGGAAAAGGAAAGCUGAUCGAAUAAGUGUGUAUUAUGAG
rnacentral:lncRNA from 1 species